rnacentral:rRNA from 2 species
CAACCGAGAAGUGCAUCGGAAACUGGGAAACUUGAGUGCAGAAGAGGACAGUGGAACUCCAUGUGUAGCGGUGAAAUGCGUAGAUAUAUGGAAGAACACCAGUGGCGAAGGCGGCUGUCUGGUCUGUAACUGACGCUGAGGCUCGAAAGUAUGGGUAGCAAACAGGAUUAGAUACCCUGGUAGUCCAUACCGUAAACGAUGAAUGCUAAGUGUUGGAGGGUUUCCGCCCUUCAGUGCUGCAGCUAACGCAUUAAGCAUUCCGCCUGGGGAGUACGGCCGCAAGGCUGAAACUCAAAGGAAUUGACGGGGGCCCGCACAAGCGGUGGAGCAUGUGGUUUAAUUCGAAGCUACGCGAAGAACCUUACCAGGUCUUGACAUACUAUGCAAAUCUAAGAGAUUAGACGUUCCCUUCGGGGACAUGGAUACAGGUGGUGCAUGGUUGUCGUCAGCUCGUGUCGUGAGAUGUUGGGUUAAGUCCCGCAACGAGCGCAACCCUUAUUAUCAGUUGCCAGCAUUAAGUUGGGCACUCUGGUGAGACUGCCGGUGACAAACCGGAGGAAGGUGGGGAUGACGUCAAAUCAUCAUGCCCCUUAUGACCUGGGCUACACACGUGCUACAAUGGAUGGUACAACGAGUUGCGAACUCGCGAGAGUAAGCUAAUCUUUUAAAGCCAUUCUCAGUUCGGAUUGUAGGCUGCAACUCGCCUACAUGAAGUCGGAAUCGCUAGUAAUCGCGGAUCAGCAUGCCGCGGUGAAUACGUUCCCGGGCCUUGUACACACCGCCCGUCACACCAUGAGAGUUUGUAACACCCAAAGUCGGUGGGGUAACC